AAUGAUAUACAAAUUUUCAUGAAUGACAAAUGCUGUUAAUUAUUUCCAAAUUGAAAAAUAAUGUAUUUAAGAUUAUUAAAAUCUUACAACCUCCCAAAGGUUUCCAAUUAAAAAGUGAAAUUUACUACAUUCAAUUUUAGCUAAAGAUCUAGAUUAGAAGACCAAUAGGCCAGUAAGCCUUAAUAAGUCUUUAAUGUAAACUUUUAACCUCAUUUAAAACCAGAUUGUAUUCAGUCUAAGUUAUUUAGUGUUAAGUGACUUUAUUAAUAAGUUCGAUUGAAUUAUUCAUUAACUGAUACAGUAUCUUGAGCUUUGGUGAAAAUUUUUAUUUCUUUCUGGAGUCAAAGAGUUUUAAAUGUUUUGGCUCAUUUUAUUAAGUUACAACAAUGUCCCUAUAUGUAAUGAAUGUCUGCAAUUCUAGUCUAGACUAAGAAAUGAGCUUGCAUUGUGAACUGAGUCACCUCAAACAUGUAAGACAAUGUGAGUAAUGGUGAAAAUGCUAAAACCUCGUAAGUAUGUGUUCCAUGUGGGAUCCUCCUGCAAAUUUAACACAAAAGCAAUGUCAUCUAAUUGUUAGCAUAUGGAAAAAAUACAAUUCUGACAAAAAGAAGAGGCUUGUCACUUCAUUUAAGUAUGAUGUACUCACUGCUAACAAUGAGCUCUUUGCCUGCUCUGUUAUUAGCACCUCACUUUCUUGUGAAUUUCUAAUCACAGUGUGAAAAUUCUAUGCUAAAUAGCUUCAACAAUUAUGAGGAAUGCUCUAUUUCAUCAUUUUGUUUCAAAGUAUUUUGUAAAAAAUAUACUGACAUUCCCAGGAUGGGGGUGGGGCUGGAAUCAUGAGAAUACUAUCAAAAGUCAAAAGCGGUUUCUAAAAGGGACAUGUCCUAAGGACAGAGGCAUCCUCAGUUGCUAAAGAUAUAUUUAAACAGGAAAAGUAAAGCUUUAAUAGCUCUUUCAGUGUCCAUCUGUGAAACCUGCCACCCCUUCCAAAAUGGAUGCCACCUCUGUCCAAGAUAAGGUGUAUCUCUUUUGUAGCAUUUCAACACCGUUGUGUUUUCAAAUAGCAGUCAAUCAACACUGGCCCAGGUGAACUUCAACUGUGCACAGAAUCAUCACUCAGCUUUCCCAGAAGUGGUUGGCAUCCCUUUUUUGCCUCUUCUUCUUUCUUGGUUGCUACAUUAACAUGACAUGGCUGGGUGACAUCUGCAAAAAUGAUAUAGUAAAGACCUCUGAAUAUUUGCCCAUAAAUAAAAGCAGUGAAAAAAACUGGCAAAUAUUGUCAGAACAAACUUUUUUUGAACUCUGGAAAUUAACCAGAAGUUUUCAGCAACCUGGGAAGCAUUUAUGCGAGAAAAAUGGCAGAAUCUCAGUAAUAACAAAAAGCAAGUUUUAUGGCAGUUUUAACUUACUCUACUUUCAUUUCCUGCUUCCUAGCUUAGUGGCAGUAAUGAAAAUAACAGUCUACAUUCCUAG
rnacentral:lncRNA from 10 species